CCAACACAGUCUCACCCCUAUUCGUCACAUACUGCCGUUUGGUCAUUUCCCCCUCACGUCCAUAAGCAACGUUGAGGGUACCCCCUAUUCGUCACUUGACAACGUAGAGGAGGGUCGUCCGAUAUUUGAAUGCAAAUCCCUCAUCUUUGGAUUUUGACGAACCUGGCUUAUCCAUCUAGCGGUUUUUCUGCGCUGGAAAGUAUGGUUUCAGGCGAUUAAUUUUAAUGCUGCUAAUAUUAUGUUCAUGUAUUUUGCAGUAGCAUGCUGCGCAAAUACUGUUACAAUCAUUAAUUGGUGAAGUGACCAUAUAUUUUAUUGGAGCAGAAACCCUGUUCUAAAUCGGAAUCACGCCUUUUUUCUUUUUUAAUAUAAUUUUGGGCUACAUUAAAAUGGCAUAAUUGCAGGACUGCAUAUUUGCUGUAGGCUUAAACAUGCCUUAAUUUAAGUGGGAUAUUUUUAAUUGUCGAUGGUAUAUUUGCAAUGGCUUAUAGUGUAUAGUGAGCCUGCUUUGUUGUUUUUUUUUUUUUUUUUUUUUGCGACCAAAAAUAAAUAAAUAAAAAUAACACCUCAACAACAAAAAAAUACCAAUAGCAUACUUUUAUAGACCUUUCAUCUCAAUACUAAUUAUGAAGUUGUGAUAAAUAGCCUGCUGCGGAAAUGUUUAUAUUACUUAAUAUGGACAUAUCCUUUGGCAAAGAGAUGGAUGCAUUCUGGGGCGUGAUGUGUUAAAAUGUAAUUGCUAACAUAUACCCAUGUUUCCUUAGACAUUUCUGCUGACCCCUUUAAAAUUUUGAGCGAGGAUAUAAAAUAUUAAGACUGUACUUUUUCAUUAUAAUUUAUAUUUUGGCGCAAUUUUGUGCAGCGCGUCACUGUGCGCGACCAUCACAGAAACCAUUGCCCAGCGCGAUUCCACAACGAUUCCUUAAUCCCUGUCCUUUAAAAAAAAACAGCACCUCAUUACAUUAGGCACUUCUAAGAGCCACAUUUGUCUUGUUUAUUGUCUUAUUUGUAUUUUUUUAUUGUCUUGUUAUUUCUCUCUCUCUCUCUCUCUCUCACACACUCUAUCUCUCACUCUCUCUCUAACCCUGACUCUCUCCCCUACCAUCUGAGUGGUGGUUGUUUUUUAGAGGGACGGAGGAACUGGGUUGCUGUCUCUUCUUCAGUCACUUUAAUCAACUGAAAGUGUAAAGAAUGACAAAGCCAAAAUUCAGGCCUUGCCCAAGCUGCCAGGUCCGUCAGCAGGCUAACCGCAAAACCUGCAGUGCUUGUUUUGCCACACUGCCAAGCAAGCGGUUAUUGAAAACUGCAAAAAUUAAUGAUGACUGGGGCCAGAGGGUCAUCAAAAACAAAAAUGCAUCUCGGGUGGUGGCCUCUGCCCAAAUAGCUGUCCAAAAACUUUCUGCCUUGGGCUAUAUGCCCAUAUUAUUUAUCAGCCAGAGGCACAAGGGCACAGGAAAAUUGAUGGCAGAUGUAGUAACGCAUCUGCCACCGACGCAAAACAACACACGUUUCUUAACCAGCAUGAAGAGGGCAUAUGACUUCAUGAUCAAACUGGAUGAUGUGUCCCAGCCCCAGCAAGACCAGCCCC